rnacentral:rRNA from 1 species
UACGUAGGGGGCAAGCGUUGUCCGGAAUUAUUGGGCGUAAAGAGCUCGUAGGCGGUCUGUUGCGUCCGCUGUGAAAACUCGGGGCUUAACCCCGAGCCUGCAGUGGAUACGGGCAGACUAGAGGUAGGUAGGGGAGAAUGGAAUUCCCGGUGUAGCGGUGAAAUGCGUAGAUAUCGAGAGGAACACCUGCGGCGAAGGCGGGUUGCUGGGCUGACACUGACGCUGAUGCGCGAAAGCCAGGGGAGCGAACGGG